rnacentral:rRNA from 1 species
UACGUAGGGGGGCUAGCGUUGUCCGGAAUCAUUGGGCGUAAAGAGCGUGUAGGCGGCUCGGUAAGUCCGCUGUGAAAAGUCCAGGGCUCAACCCUGGAAUGCCAGUGGAAACUGUCGAGCUAGAGUCCGGAAGAGGCGAGUGGAAUUCCUGGUGUAGCGGUGAAAUGCGCAGAUAUCAGGAGGAACACCAAUGGCGAAGGCAGCUCGCUGGGACGGUACUGACGCUGAGACGCGAAAGCGUGGGGAGCAAACAGGAU